ensembl:lncRNA
CUCUGCUCCUGGUGAUGGUAUUGAAGAGCUGUGCUUUCAGGCUGCAGCACGAGUGUUUAAUGGUGGGGCUGCCGGGAAGAGCGGGCUGGCUGGGGAGAACACAGCUGGUUACUGUUCCAAGGCCACGGCGGGGCUGGCUGCGGGGCCCCUGGGAGCCUUCCUGGCUUCUCACAGUUAGUCAUUUUAUGGCGUCCGAAGCGCUUGGAUUACUGUAACCAUAUGGUCUUUGUUUGGAGCGCCUCGCACCCAACCUGCGGCCGGGGACCGAGGCUGAGAGCUGCUCAGGGGGGUUGCAUAGGAGCUGGCCUCACGGGGUGCCCGUAGAGCACCACGCUGCCUCCUCCUCUGCAUCUGGGAUGGGAUUUGCCUUUGUGAUCCCUGUGGGCUCGGGGGUGAUUUAUGGACACCAUGCUGCACGGUGCCUGCCAAUCACCCUGCUUGCUCCAGCAGCGUUGGGCAAUCUCUGCUUCCUAUGAAAUCAGGCUCACAAAGCAAAAACUUGGCAGCAGCUGAGGCUCACAGCAGUGGGGCUGCAUCCCCUGACCCACAGCUGGCAGGAUGCGGGCUGCCCCCCGCCCCAAAACUGCAACUGCGGUCUCUUUCCUAUGUUGCUGCUUCGCUUUGGGAAUGCAGAAAUAGAUUCAAAGCACCGAAGAGCACUCAAACCACCGCAGAGAAACCGGUCAUGAGGGCUGCAUGGAGGGCACAGUGCAGGGAGAUGCUGCUGACGGCCUCAGUCCCCCAAACUGCUGCGGUGUAGGGUGAGCGACAGGGAUGCUGGAGCAGGAGGAAUAGACACCUGCUCCCUCACAGUGAGUCAAUAAAUGCCAUUUUGCUCUGCACCUGGAUGGAGCGGUGCUGCAGGGAGGUAGCACACCGCCUGGAGUGAUGCCAUUAGGGUAUGAGCCCUCCGAUGAGGACACGGAGGUGCUCCUCCCUGCAUCCCACAGAGUCCCUGGGUCACGCUCAUCCUUAGCCCUACCCCAGGCGCGUGGGGCCGGGCUGGGUGGAGGGCACCGCGCUCAGCCACAGCCCUGCCUUGCACGAGGCAAUUCCACAGCACUCAGACCCAACUGCUGCCCUCAGCAUGGCACGUGGCACCUCAAUAACCUGCUCUUAAUGAGAAAAAAGGCAGUGAUGGGCAUUGAACCCUGCACUGGACGGAGCCCCUCUGUCCACUGCUCCCAGCUUGUGCCAUCUCCCUGCGGGCACGCACACCUCUCCCCCCCCCCCAUCCAUCCAUCCAUCCAUCCCUCUGACACUGACACAUGGCAGCUGUCCCCCUGCGGGUUGGUCAGUGGGAGAGGAGCGGAUUCGUGCACAUCGGAAGAGCCGUAAAUCACAGCAAUGGGUUCCUCAGAAGGGCUUCCAGCCAGAGCCGUAACCACAGCGUGCGGGGCCAACAUCCGCACGGCUCCGCGGCCAUCCGGCGCGGGACAGCGGCGCUCACAUCCAGCUAGCACUCAACAGCUGAUAACUCUAUUCCUCCCCCCUCCCUCCUUUUUUCUUCCAAGAGUUGAGCUAUUCUUCAACCUACAAAGCUCCAAAGGGCCCCCGGCCAGCAGCCUAAAUCCUGAGCUGUAGGUUUGGUCGAUGCUUGCAAUACGAAUGCAGGGGUGUUUGCAUUGCUCCCGUACCCCUUUCCCAGCAAACAGAGGGUUCGGUAGGUCUGGAAAAACCCUAUUAUCCCUACAGGGCAGCACGGUUCCUCCUUCUUGGGGAAAAAGGUAAAAAAAUAAGAAGCAAAAAAGAGCUCGCUGUGCACAAUUGACAUUUUUUAAGCCGUAGUCAUCCCCCUCUGUUCCUCCCAGUGUUUUCCCACCAGCGGGGUGAGGAAAUCGCCUUUUACAUCAUGUUGGCUGUCAACCCUAGCGAGAGAUGCUGGGCUGGAGACAAAAGAGCUGGAAGGGGUCUUCUGAGCUCACCUCAGCCCCAGGGCAGGAGGAGUCGUUUCAUAAGCAGCUUUCAUAAGCAGCUUGGUCUGAAGGAAAUGGCAUGGAAAAAAAGUGGUGGAUGCCACGGCCGUGAGCUUUGCGCCGGGGAGGAGCCGCUGCCCUGCAAACCCUGUGGGGCUGCUGGGGGAUUGCAGCCAUUCUGAGAAGGAUAGAGAAGAUGUGGUAGAAGGAGGAAGGGGGGGGGGGAUGGUUAAACUGGGUGGGAUCUCACCCGCGCACAGCUUCUGAUCCCUGGUGGGGUCUCCCCAUCCAUGCUGCUGCACUGUGCGCCCUUGGCAUGCUUGCGCUCUCAGCUCCGUGCUGCUUUUGGAAAGCAGGAUGCUUGCUCGGAUGCUCGCCCAGAGCUGGAUUUGGAACCCCCCCCCCCCUCCCCUCUCCAUGCACGCUGCAGUGAGCAGCUGGCUCAUUGCACGCAGCAUCAUCACCAUCUCUGCCGGCAGCCGGACCACCGCUGGCGCAGGUGAGCUGCUGGCUGCAGAGCAAGCGGGAGCCGCUCCCCCCUCCUCCACCCCUCCCCGCAGAGCUCUUGGACAAAUAAAGUGCGGAAAAAAUCUGAGCUGGAGCUGCUGACUCCUUGUGCAAGCAAGUUUAAAAUAGGCCACACUGUUCCAGCCCGGCGGCAGCCAGCUGGCCCUGCAGCCGCCCCGCUGCAAAACAAGCGGCAGCGGGAGCCCCGGCACCGCAGCACGGGGACGUGACCCGGAUGGCAGCAGCUGGGACAGCACGGUGACACUCUUGGCCAUGCAGGUGGGAUGUCACCAGGGGUGAAAGGUGCCCAGCCGGGCGGGGGCACGCAGGGAGCAUCCCCUGCAAUAGCAUCGCCGCAGCUGUGCCCCUCCUCUGCGCCCUUGGGGACACCCAACCGAUGCUCCUAUUGUAUUUAUUUCUUGUUUUGGGUUUUUUUUCUUGGUAAUCAUACAAAGCCUGGAAGCGGGCCCCAGGUGGGCUGGAGAGCGAGGUGCCGUGGGGCAGCAAUGUGUCCCCCGGGGCCGCCCGGUGCCGUCAGCCCCACGCUGCCUUUCCCGUGCUCUGCGGUCCUUUGGGGACAGGAAGCUCUGCAUUGUAAGGCGGCCUUCCAGGAUUUCCUGCAGCAGAGCAGGAUGCGGCUGCGCACCGGUUCCAGGGAAACCUGCAGCCCUCGGGGAUGUUGGGGACACCCCCCUGCUGCUCCUGCCCAAGUCAACCCCAUGGCAAUGUCCAGUGCUUGGGGCAGUUCCUAUGGCACUAAUGGGGGGCAUCGGUCCCUGCUGCUCGCCCUCACCCAGCAUCACUCAUCCCAUGUUGGACCAAAUGCGUGGUGCAAAGGAGGCACUGGGAUCCCAUGGGUGAUGUGCAGUGACUCCCAGGGGAGCAGGGGUGUCACCCUGCCUGCUCUUCCUUCCAAUGUCUUUAGGGAAAGAAGGAGAACAAAAGGCAUCCCUCACUGGGGGCCAAACUGGGGCCAUCUGCUCAGCGUCAGCCCAGGGCCGGGGCAUCACCUCAACCCAGAGGGGUGCGUUGUUCCCCACGGCUGCUGCUGCUCACCCUCUGCCCCCACAGCGGCCACAGCACGGAGGUGUCGGCCCGUGGUGAGGAUUAAUGGCUGCGUGCUGCUCGCCUCCGAGAGCUCUGCACCUUGGCCGGGGGGAGGAGGAGGAGGAUUUGGCAGCUGGAAGAGCUGGGAUUAGAGGAGAUUUGCUGGAUCUCAAGGAGAGAGGUGCCAAGUUCUCUUUGCUGGGGGACCCCGGAGGACGCUGCGUGUCCCUGUCAGCUGGCUGCAGCUCUCGGGUACCAACUUUGGGUGUCAGUGCUGCAGGGCAAUGGCACGCACAGCGGGAGCGCGGCUCCGCCAGCAAUAAACAGCGCUCAGCGCUCAGCGGGGCCGCGUCGGGAGGAGCUGCUCUGCCAGUAAGCACCGUAUUUCCCUAUUUAUAAACACAGCACCGCAUUGAGUGUGGGGCCCUGACUCUGCAGGAGCUGCUGCAAUUGUCUCUCUGCUUUGCGCUGGCAAAAAGCGUCGCGGCGCGCGGGGAUGUUUGUGGAUGGGCUGCGAGGUUUCCUGCAUCCUCCAGCUCUGAGGAUGGUCCCCGUCUCCAGAGGUGCGUGGAGCAUCAGAUGGGCUUCGGCUUGGUUUGAGAUAAGGAAUCCCUCCGUGAUGUCGCUGGGGUUGCUGGGUGUCCGUGUGCAAUGCAGCAAAUGCGGCGGGGGC